GCGAGGCUCCCGGCCGGGGUGCCCUGGCCUCCGGACCCCCCCCCCCGGCCUGUGCAUCGCCUUCCCUGUGGUUUCAGCCGCCGCGUGGCUGCCUUGAGCCUGCACCCAGCAGACAGGAAUCCGUAGACAUCGCCCAAGGGGCCGCGGUUCCCACCGGACUGUUGCGAUUCCGCCCUUCAAGGAGAGAAGCCCUGAACGCCUGACGCCGCAAAUGAGCUACCGCCUUAACUGUUGGAACUUCACUAGAAACAACAGCGAAGCAGCCAUUGAGGUUGCCUCUCAGAAACCUCUAUUUAGAGAAUGCGUUCUGGGUAUCCUAGGGGCAUAGCCGUAAAGCAAGGAGAAUAAAGUUAAUCAAACACCAUAGACCCCAUAUAUCUAAUUGACACUUUCUCUGUAAACCGCAAGAAUCGAUGUAUUUAUUCCAGGAAUACCCAAAGCACUUGGCUUAGGAAAUCACCUUGAGUCCAUUUAGGAGAAAUAAAAAUAAAAUCAAUUUAUGCCGUGCCUCUUUGGGACUCUAAAUAUUACUGAAGUGUGUUUAUUCAUCUGACUUAAGCUGUAGUGACGCAAAGCUUUUCUGGACAUUAAUCCACCCUGGAAGGAUGAAGACUCACCACACCCACUGGAAGACAGGGAUGAGCAGGAGCCAGAAUCUACCAGCCUGGCGCCUUCACGUCAGAGUUGGAGCUUUCUGUUGGAAGAGGCUGGCCUCUCUAGCUGCUCACUGCCUCCGGGAUCAUCCUGCUUCCCACACUGCUGACUGGGAGGAAAGCCUGCAGGUGGGGGCCACCUCGACUCACUCUUAGCUUUUCCCAAGGCUGGUCUCCCUGGUCUGCGACCUGGAGGGUGGGAGGCUCCAGCCUCCCGGAUGCUUCCCAACUUCCUGCACAUCACAAGUGCAGAAAGGGCUAAUAUUUGUAUAAAAAGUUAAAACUAAAAACUAGCACUGGAAUUCAGAAGCCUCUCUAUGAAGGUUGGUGGAAAAAUCCAUUGUGUGUUCC
rnacentral:lncRNA from 1 species